UACGUAGGUGACCAGCGUUGUCCGGAUUUACUGGGCGUAAAGAGCGCGCAGGCGGUCGUUCAAGUCGAGUGUGAAAGCCCCCGGCUCAACUGGGGAGGGUCACUUGAUACUGAUCGACUCGAAGGCAGGAGAGGGAAGCGGAAUUCCCGGUGUAGUGGUGAAAUGCGUAGAUAUCGGGAGGAACACCAAUUGCGAAGGCAGCUCGCUGGGACGUUACUGACGCUGAGACGCGAAAGCGUGGGGAGCAAACAGG
rnacentral:rRNA from 1 species